UACGAAGGGGGGCUAGCGUUGCUCGGAAUGACUGGGCGUAAAGGGCGCGUAGGCGGCUUGCACCGUCAGAUGUGAAAUUCCUGGGCUUAACCUGGGGGCUGCAUUUGAUACGUGUGGGCUGGAGUGCGGAAGAGGGUCGUGGAAUUCCCAGUGUAGAGGUGAAAUUCGUAGAUAUUGGGAAGAACACCGGUGGCGAAGGCGGCGACCUGGUCCGUGACUGACGCUGAGGCGCGAAAGCGUGGGGAGCAAACAGG
rnacentral:rRNA from 1 species